rnacentral:rRNA from 1 species
ACGGACCAUAUUCGUAUGGUUAGUGGCAGACGGGUGCGUAACACGUGGGUGACCUGCCCUUAAGUGGGGAAUAACUCCGCUAACGCGGAGCUAAUACCGCAUAUGUUCGCUCAUUCGGUUGGGCGAGUAAAGCAGCGAUGCGCUUAGGGAUGGGCCUGCGGCGGAUUAGGUAGUUGGUGGGGUAACGGCCUACCAAGCCGAUGAUCCGUAGGGGGCGUGAGAGCGUGGCCCCCCACACUGGCACUGAGACACGGGCCAGACUCCUACGGGAGGCAGCAGUGAGGAAUAUUGCACAAUGGGCGCAAGCCUGAUGCAGCAACGCCGCGUGAGGGACGAAGGCCUUCGGGUUGUAAACCUCUUUUCUGAGGGACGAGGAAGGACGGUACCUCAGGAAUAAGUCUCGGCUAACUACGUGCCAGCAGCCGCGGUAAAACGUAGGAGGCGAGCGUUAUCCGGAUUUACUGGGCGUAAAGCGCGCGCAGGUGGCUUCGUGAGUCGGACAUGAAAGCUCCUGGCUUAACUGGGAGAGGCUGUUCGAUACUGCGGGGCUUGAGGUUGGGAGAGGGACGCGGAAUUCCCGGUGUAGUGGUGGAAUGCGUAGAUAUCGGGAGGAACACCAGUGGCGCAAGCGGCGUCCUGGCCCACACCUGACGCUGAGGUGCGAAAGCGUGGGUAGCAAACAGGAUUAGAUACCCUGGUAGUCCACGCUGUAAACGAUGUCAACUGGGUGUCGGUAGUUUUACACUAUCGGUGCCGAAGCCAACGCGUUAAGUGACCGCC